GCCGAAGUGGUGGAACUGGUAGACACGCUACCUUGAGGGGGUAGUGAGCUUCGCUCGUGGAGGUUCGAAUCCUCUCUUCGGCACCA
rnacentral:tRNA from 2 species